CAGCUGUGGAGACAGCCCGCGUUCCCGGCAUGCCCCGGGGCGGCGGGGUUGGCUCUAACGAAUUUGAAUGAGGAGCCUCGGCGCUUUCGGCGCCAUUUUCGAGUGAUGCCUCAUCUCAUCCAUCUAGCGGGACGGAAGGGCUAACCUGUCCGAGCGUGGCGCGACGCGGGGAUCGCGCCGGAAAAUCCCCCAAAAAUCAGCAAAAAAUAUAGAUAUAACGGAAACCAAGGGGCAGUCGGCGGAGCUCCGCCGGACUUGGCGCGGACGAUUUUAACCUUUAGAAGAGAACCAAUUCUGGAAAACAGCCUAACUUUCUUUGACUGAAUACUGACAUCAUGAAUUGGAACGUGAUAGAGGAUUAAGGUUUAACAAUGAUAAAUGAAGAUAUUACUAAAACAGCCUGCUUAGUAGCUCAACAAUUAUUUUUGCUAGAGAUGGGGCCCAGGGCCUUCCAGGAACCAAGGCAAGCACUUUACCUCCCUAGCUCUUUAUCUGUGGAAUAUGGAUGUCCUAGAAGUGGCAUAAUGGUGUUAAUAUGUUAGGUGCUCUCAACUGAAUAAUGGUAGUAUUUUGCAUUCAUUUUUUCAAGUUGCAUAAAGAGUUUUCUUUCCAGUUUAAAGUUCUAGUAGAAAUUUUUUGUUGCUUAAGAAAUUCAAAAAGUCAUUGAUUUCUUUUUUUCUCAUUGCUUUUUCUUUUUGUAAAUGCUUUUAUUUCCCACAUUGCAUUUUUAGCUACAUAAACUUAAAUUAUCUAUUUAUAUAAUGCAAAUUUAAAAUUUAUUGUUUGAGGGGCUAGUGAGAUCACUUUGGGUAAGAGCCCUUGCUGCUCUUCCAGAGGGCCCAUGUUUGGUUCCCAGAGCCUACAUCAGGCAGCUCAUAACAAACUCCAGGGAACCAGCACUCUCUUUUCUGCAGGCACCCACAUACUUGUGACGUACUUCACAUAUACAUUCACAUAAAAAUUCAUUUAAAAAUACAUAUCAUUGAUAGUUUAAAAUCUUGGACUGCAUGCUGUCCACAUUUAAGAAUAUUAUGCUAGGUAGAGGUGGUGCACACCUUUAAUCCCAACACCCAGGAGGCAGAGGCAGAUGAAUCUCUGUGAGUUCAAGGCCAGCCUGGUCUACAAAGCAAGAUCCAGGACAACCAGGGCAAACUAGAGAAACCCUGUCUUGAAGAACAAAAACAAACAAAAAGAAUAUUACAACUAUCUUUUUAACAUAAAACAGUAGAAAUACUAAGAUAUUGACCUAAUAAACAAAAUAUGAAGAAAAAUUCACAUUCAGUCCUGUCAGUAUUGAUAAUCUUGUAAUCUAAUGACAGAAACCAAUUACUUCUUAAUUCAGGAAACCUCCUCAGUUUGACUACUCUCAGACACUAUGCUUGUAAAAAUAAAAAAGGUAGAACGACUUCCCAUGUAGAAAAUACGUCAGGCUAACAAUAAAAUAGCAGUGAUACUCAAUCAUAAUCAGUUUUAAAAGUAUUGUUAGUUGUUGAAUUAAUAAUAUAAAUAUCUGGGUUAAUAUAUAGAGAGAAAAGUAAUAUUUUCAUUAUUGGGGGAAUUAGAAUCAAUGAUAUGGCAAGUGAUGAAAUUUUUUAUUUUCAGUAAAAAAUUAAUUUUGUAAUGAUAUAUAAUAGAUGGGCUGAAAAUCUUACAGUUUUUAAUUGUGAUGUAAAUUUCUUUGUAUAAACUGCUGUUUGUCAUGCCACUUAGGAGGAAAUUUUGCCUAUCUUAAGUAGUUUCUUUAAAAAGAACUGUUUCUUAGGAGUGUAUGCCAAAAGUGAAAAAACAUAGUUGCAUAUUUUGGAGUUGAAUUAGUGAUGAAAGAUGGCAGAUACUGUCAUAAUUGAGAGUAGAAAAGGAUGCCUUAUAUACCUACUGAUAAAAUACCUCACUAUUAAUUUAGUAAGAAUGUAAAAUCUAGGUUCUGGAAGUUAUAUAUUGCUUUUAAUUCAUGGGCAUAGGAAAAAUUCACAGUGUUCUCAUUUUUUUUUUUUUAGUUGUUGAAAAAGUAUUAGUUUUGAGAAUUAGAAAAGUUUUAACUCAAUGCCAGAUAUUCUUUGUCCUCCAAGCCUUUAAUAUUUGAUGUAUAAGUAUUUAAAACAAUGAUUAUUUUAAAUCUUGACCUUUUUACUUGAUGAUAUUUCUGUUCUCAACAAAAUGGCAACCUUGAAAUUUAAGUUUUAAUGCAAAUUAUGGGCUCAUUUUUUCCCACUCUGAACAACUUUUCAGCUUCUACAAAGUUUCAGAUAAUAGAAUUUAUUCAUGAGGUUACUUUGGAUAUUAGAAAGGUUAAAAUGGGGGCUGGAAGUGUAGCUCACUUGAUAAGAGUGCUUACCUAGAGCAUGACACUCUGUAUUUGAUAUCUACACCAAGUAAACUGGGUAGAGUGGUGCACACCUAUAAUCCCAGCAGUAGGUGGAGGAGGGCAGGAGAAACAGAAAUUAAGAUCAUCCUUGACACUUAGUAAAAUUGAGGACAUCCUUAGUUACAUGAUACCUUGUCUGGAGAGAGGGAAGUAGGGGCGUUUAAGAUACACCACAGGUUUGAAUUUUAGUGGUGUAUAUGUUUCCUCAAAGUUCUUACUUAAAAACAACUUCAUAGUAUAUAGAACUUUAUUCUUAGGCCCUCGAUCAGUGUCCCAAAACAGUUUUUACAUCUUUUCUGAAGGCUGAACAUACCCAGGUCUUUUCAUGGAUUCUUAUAGCAUCAAUUGUGAACUAUAAAUAUCAUGGGUACUCUACUUUGAUCCUGCUCCAUUUUAUAGCAGCCUUUUAAAACCAUUUGUAGAAGUAGAGCCAGUAUAGUCAAUGUGGCCAAGGUACAAGAUCUUUUAUAAUUAUGGUACUUUUAGAGCAGGCAACAACACUAACUCUCUUUGUUAUUAACUGUGUUAGUGUAACAUUGAAUUUGUCAGAAGUGCAUACCUUACUGAGAAUUUAGGUUGAACAGGCAUUUAAUGAACAUCUAGUCACUACUAAAUGUGCUCAUAUAAGUUUAAGGGAUACAAUUUAAAUGAGGUAAGCAUUUGCCACAUUUUACCCAAGAGGUACCAAAACAGGGUCAGUGUACUGACUAGCUUAGCCAUGAUAAAGACUCCUAAGAGAGAGAAUGCCAGGGUUCUGCCCUCACAGUCUGUAUUCUGUCAUUAUGCUCUAAGACACUAUGUUGUUUAUUAUAUUAAUAAUUUUUAAAAAAUUCAAUAACUGACCCAUUAUUCUGGUUCAGUCAACAUGCCUAAAAUCUCUUAAAUAUAUUGUGAAGUACUAUGCUUUGUGGAAACGAUGAAUUAAUAUUAGAAGUCUUAUAAGGUAAAAAAAAAGUAAAUAUUUUUAAACAAAAAUAUUAAUGGAAAAUAGAGUUGAAGGGAAAAAUUGGACAAUUUGUGGUUUGCUCUGUCUUUCUAAAUUUUUUUUUAUUUAUUAUGUAUAUAGUAUUCUGCUUGCAUAUAUGCCUGCACACCAGAAGAGGGCACCAGAUCUCAUU